rnacentral:lncRNA from 1 species
GUCGGAAAAUGAUAAUUGAAUCAAAAUGUCAGGGAAACUGCUGUUUUUUCCUAAAACCUGGAAAAAUCAGGGAAAAUUUUUUUCUGGAAUUAUAUGCUUAAACGCAGCUUGCAACAAUUGAUCAAUUUUAGCGCCAAAAAUGACAAUAUCGCGGCGUUUUGUCGCUUCGUGAAAGAAAUUAUUGUGCGAAACUCCUUGCGUGCGUUAGGUGCUUUCGUCAAGUCGUACAAAAUCUGCAAGAGUGGUGACUUAGCAUUUACGCAAUCAGGUGAUUUUUUGGUAAAAAUGCAUGUAGAUGCUUGCUAGUGCUGUGAAGACUUCUGACUACUUUAAAUAAUUUGGUUCAAAUAAUAACUAACUAGUAAGAUUAUUUUUCUGCAAUUAUGC